rnacentral:rRNA from 1 species
GACGAACGCUGGCGGCGUGCCUAAUACAUGCAAGUCGAACGCAGUGGGGACGGGUGAGUAACACGUGGGUAACCUCCCAUCAGAGGGGAUAACACUUGGAAACAGGUGCUAAACCGAUACUGAUGGAUGGACCCGCGGUGCAUUAGCUAGUUGGUGAGGUAACUGCUCACCAAGGCGACGAUGCAUAGCCGGCCUGAGAGGUGGAUCGGCCACACUGGAACUGAGACACGGCCCAGACUCCUACGGGAGGCAGCAGUAGGGAAUCUUGGGCAAUGGACGAAAGUCUGAUGGAGCAACGCCGCGUGAAUGAAGAAGGUUUGCGGAUCGUAAAGCACUUUUAUCAGGGAGGCGGUAUCUGACCAAAAAGCCACGGCUAACUACGUGCCAGCCGCCGCGGUAAUAC